rnacentral:rRNA from 1 species
GAAUCCAGACCCUACGGGGUGCAGCAGGCGCGAAAACUUGGCAAUGCGAGAAAUCGUGACCAGGGAACUCCAAGUGCAUCGGGUAAGACCGAUGCUUUUCUUGACUCUUCAAAGGUCUUGGAAUAAGGGGUGGGUAAGGACGGUGCCAGCCGCCGCGGUAAUACCGGCGCCUCAAGUGGUAGUCGCUUUUAUUGGGCCUAAAACGUCCGUAGCCGGUUUGGUACAUUCGUGGGUAAAUCAAGGCGCUCAACGUCUUGAAUUCUGCGAGCACGGCCAGACUUGGGACCGGGUGAGGUGUGGGGUACUCUCAGGGUAGGGGUAAAAUCCUGUCAUCCUGAGAGGACCACCUGUUGCGAAGGCGCCACACUAGAACGGAUACGACGGUCAGGGACGAAGCCUAGGGGCACGAACCGGAUUAGAUACCCGGGUAGUCCUAGGUGUAAACGCUGUGGACUUGAUGUUGGGAGUGCUCCGAGCACCCUCAGUGUCGAAGCGAAGGUGAUAAGUCCACUGCCUGGGGAGUACGGUCGCAAGGCUGAAACUUAAAGGAAUUGGCGGGGGAGCACUGCAACCUGAGGAUUGUGCGGUUUAAUUGGACUCAACGCCGGAA